UCAAGAAACUUCUACAAUGGGCGAAAGCCUGAUGGAGCGACGUCGCGUGAUGGACGAAGUGCUUCGGCACGUAAACAUCUUUUAUGUGGGAUGAAAUUAUUGACAGUACCACAUGAAUAAGGGGCUCCUAACUCUGUGCCAGCAGGAGCGGUAAUACAGAGGCCCCAAGCGUUAUCCGGAAUCACUGGGCGUAAAGGGUGUCGAGGCGGUUGUAUUAGUCGUUCGUAAAAUCUACGAGCUUAACUUGUAGGCGGCGAACGAAACGGUACGACUUGAGGUUUGGAGAGGUGCGUGGAACUCACGGUGUAGGGGUGAAAUCCGUUGAUAUCGUGGGGAACACCAAAGGCGAAGGCAGCGCACUGGCCAAAAUCUGACGCUCACACACGAAAGCGUGGGGAGCAAACAGGAUUAGAUACCCACGUAGUCCCUGAGCGGGCUGGCAAGGCGCAU
rnacentral:rRNA from 1 species